AACGAACGCUGGCGGCAUGCCUAACACAUGCAAGUCGAACGAGACCUUCGGGUCUAGUGGCGCACGGGUGCGUAACGCGUGGGAACCUGCCCUUAGGUUCGGAAUAACUCCCCGAAAGGGGUGCUAAUACCGGAUAAUGUCUUCGGACCAAAGAUUUAUCGCUUUUGGAUGGGCCCGCGUUGGAUUAGCUAGUUGGUAGGGUAAAAGCCUACCAAGGCGACGAUCCAUAGCUGGUCUGAGAGGAUGAUCAGCCACACUGGGACUGAGACACGGCCCAGACUCCUACGGGAGGCAGCAGUGGGGAAUAUUGGACAAUGGGCGAAAGCCUGAUCCAGCAAUGCCGCGUGAGUGAUGAAGGCCUUAGGGUUGUAAAGCUCUUUUACCCGGGAUGAUAAUGGCAGUACCGGGAGAAUAAGCUCCGGCUAACUCCGUG
rnacentral:rRNA from 1 species